GUGCCAGCCGCCGCGGUAAUACGUAGGUGGCGAGCGUUGUCCGGAAUUAUUGGGCGUAAAGCGCAUGUAGGCGGGAAUAUAAGUCUGUUGUGAAAAUGCGGGGCUCAACCCCGUAUUGCAAUGGAAACUGUAUUUCUUGAGUGCAGGAGAGGAAAGGGGAAUUCCCAGUGUAGCGGUGAAAUGCGUAGAUAUUGGGAGGAACACCAGUGGCGAAGGCGCCUUUCUGGACUGUGUCUGACGCUGAGAUGCGAAAGCCAGGGGAGCGAACGGGAUUAGAUACCCCGGUAGUCCUGGCCGUAAACGAUGGGUACUAGGUGUAGGAGGUAUCGACCCCUUCUGUGCCGGAGUUAACGCAAUAAGUACCCCGCCUGGGGAGUACGGCCGCAAGGUUGAAACUUAAAUGAAUUGACGG
rnacentral:rRNA from 1 species